rnacentral:rRNA from 1 species
GAUGAACGCUGGCGGCGUGCCUAAUACAUGCAAGUCGAGCGAACAGACGAGGAGCUUGCUCCUCUGACGUUAGCGGCGGACGGGUGAGUAACACGUGGAUAACCUACCUAUAAGACUGGGAUAACUUCGGGAAACCGGAGCUAAUACCGGAUAAUAUAUUGAACCGCAUGGUUCAAUAGUGAAAGACGGUUUUGCUGUCACUUAUAGAUGGAUCCGCGCCUCAUUAGCUAGUUGGUAAGGUAACGGCUUACCAAGGCAACGAGGCGUAGCCGACGGGAGAGGGGGAUAGGCCACCUUGGAACGGAGACACGGUCCAGAAGCCUAAGGGAGGCAGCAGUAGGGAACCGGCGGCAAUGGGCGAAAGCCUGACGGAGCAACGCGGCGUGAGUGAUGAAGGUCUCCGGAUCGGAAAACUCUGUUAUUAGGGAAGAACAAAUGUGUAAGUAACUAUGCACGUCUUGACGGUACCUAAUCAGAAAGCCACGGCUAACUACGUG